AGUGAACGCUGGCGGUAGGCCUAACACAUGCAAGUCGAACGGCAGCACAGUAAGAGCUUGCUCUUACGGGUGGCGAGUGGCGGACGGGUGAGGAAUACAUCGGAAUCUACUUUUUCGUGGGGGAUAACGUAGGGAAACUUACGCUAAUACCGCAUACGACCUACGGGUGAAAGUAAGGGAUCUUCGGACCUUGCGCGAUUGAAUGAGCCGAUGUCGGAUUAGCUAGUUGGCGGGGUAAAGGCCCACCAAGGCGACGAUCCGUGGCUGGUCUGAGAGGAUGAUCAGCCACACUGGAACUGAGACACGGUCCAGACUCCUACGGGAGGCAGCAGUGGGGAAUAUUGGACAAUGGGCGCAAGCCUGAUCCAGCCAUACCGCGUGGGUGAAGAAGGCCUUCGGGUUGUAAAGCCCUUUUGUUGGGAAAGAAAAGCAGCAGGUUAAUACCCCGCUGUUCUGACGGUACCCAAAGAAUAAGCACCGGCUAACUUCGUG
rnacentral:rRNA from 1 species